UUUUUAUUUAUAACACAGUCGUGGUAGUAGAUAUUAUUCUUCCCUUUAGGGAGCACAGCUGAAGCACCCGAUAGCAACUCUAAGCAGAAUCAGAAGAUGGCACCAGAUCACCUGGAAUUGCAGUUACAGACAGAGAUGAGAAACUAUAGACAACAGGGAGACUGCUUAUUCUUCAAUACAGAUGUUUAUAGAGGAUCCAGGUUUGCUCUCCAGAAUCCAGAUGGCAGCUCACAACAAGUCUCUAGGGAGUUUCAGGAGAUCUCAUGCCCUCUUCUGGCCUCUGUGGGCUCUAUACAUGCACAAGAAACAAAGACACACGUGCAGACAGGAGCCUAGCAUGGCUGUCUUCUCAGAGGCUAACUCACACAGCAGCUAACUCAUACAGAUGGAGACACAUCCAAACAGUGGACGGAGCUCAUGGAAGAAUAAAAGGAAGGAUUGUCGACUCCACAGGGGAUAGGAACUCCACAGAAAGGCCAACAGU